rnacentral:rRNA from 1 species
GACGAACGCUGGCGGCGUGCUUAACACAUGCAAGUCGAACGAAAAGAGGGAAAGAGCUUGCUCUUUCCGGAAUUGAGUGGCAAACGGGUGAGUAACACGUAAACAACCUGCCUUCAGGAUGGGGACAACAGACGGAAACGACUGCUAAUACCGAAUAAGUUCCAAGGGCCGCAUGGCCCAUGGAGGAAAAGGUGGCCUCUACCUGUAAGCUAUCGCCUGAAGAGGGGUUUGCGUCUGAUUAGCUGGUUGGAGGGGUAACGGCCCACCAAGGCGACGAUCAGUAGCCGGUCUGAGAGGAUGAACGGCCACACUGGAAUUGAGACACGGUCCAGACUCCUACGGGAGGCAGCAGUGGGGAAUCUUCCGCAAUGGGCGAAAGCCUGACGGAGCAACGCCGCGUGAGUGAUGACGGCCUUCGGGUUGUAAAACUCUGUGAUCCGGGACGAAAAGGCAGAGUGCGAAGAACAAACUGCAUUGACGGUACCGGAAAAGCAAGCCACGGCUAACUACGUG